ACACAUGCAAGUCGAGGGGUAACGGGGUGCUUGCACCGCCGACGACCGGCGCACGGGUGCGCAACGCGUAUACAAUCUACCUUAUGCUGAGGGAUAGCCCAGAGAAAUUUGGAUUAAGACCUCAUGGUAUCGGAGGACGGCAUCGUUUUCCGAUUAAAGGUUACGGCAUAAGAUGAGUAUGCGUCCCAUUAGCUAGUUGGUGUGGUAACGGCACACCAAGGCUACGAUGGGUAGGGGUCCUGAGAGGGAGAUC
rnacentral:rRNA from 17 species